rnacentral:misc_RNA from 1 species
UGGUUUGUACAAGGCAGCCAGAGACUCUGUGUAAUGACGUGUGAGCAUUAUGGUACAAAUCUGUUUUGUAUAUUAGAAUAAUUUUAUAGUUGCAUGAUAAUUCAUUUUAUUUGUCAACAUUUAAUUGAUGUUUUAUAGCAUGCCAGCAGAAGUAUUAUUUAUUUAGAAAAAAAAAAACCUUGUGAGAAAGAUAAUGAAGUGUGAGAGUUUGAAAGAAAAUCUUUCCAAAAUGGAUGUGAUUUUUUUGUAUUAUUUUAUGCUUGUUUUAUAAAUAAGUGUUUCAGAGUGCAAUUACAUUGUAUUUCAUUUGUUGUAAACUUGAUUUUGUUAAACAAGUCAUUUCCCAUAUUUAACCAUUACCACUAUUUCACAGGUUACUGAAUAUCCUCAGAAUUUUAAAUGGUGCUUUCCUCUGUUGCUUACAUAAAGAAACAAGUCAUAGCUAACAACACUAUCGGAUCUAUGUUCUACAUUGCUGAUGAUGCUGACUUUUCUCUCCUUUAGGCGACUCUGUCAUGGAUUCAUGACCUUUGGCCUUCCUAGAUCCCUCUAGUGUCCAUGGCAACGACUUCCAUAUGUGGAGUGGCUGACGUGGUGCAUGUCCCGCUGCUAGGAGUCUAUGCUUGGUGCUGAUUGGUUGGCUGAUGUAAUCAUAAGAGGAAUCCUGACACAUAAUCUCUCUUCAUAUUUUACUCCUUCAAUCCCACAUGUGAUAACCGGUCCGUGUUGUGGCUACCUAUCAGUUGGCAUGGCUCUGACCUCAUGUUCAUUCUUUUCACCUUCCCAUUAUGUUUUCUUUUAACUGGGAUCAAAACUCUUUAAUCUUGUUUCUUUGUUUUACUCUAUUUCAAAAUGUCUACAGUAUUUCAAUAUUUAGUUCGUUGCAUGAGUUAGACCUUGCUCUCAAAUCUCUCUUCCUUUUGUUCAGCCUAAGUUGUGCAUGACAUCUCAGAUCUAACUGUUUCGGAAUUAUUUCUUCUGUCAUUGAGUUUCUUUUCCCAACAUUUUGCUUUCAGUUUUUCCCUGGUUCUUGUUUCAUUUGGUGCUGAUAAAUGUGAAUUUAAUUCUGUGAAUUGUUACCCUGGUAACAGCUGCCAAAAUCAGUGAAGUUUUGUACCAAUUGUUGUGAUUUGCCCACCAAACAUAUCUUAUCUUUAUGCAAGGCAUUAUAAACCAUCUCCUUAGCUGUAAUGAGCAGGCUGUUUAGUGGGGGAUUUCCCCUGCUCUGUGAAGACACACAAUGAUAGAGAGUUUUAUUCUCUAGUGUGUAAAGAAUUUUAUAUUGCAAUCACUUUAUCAGUUCAGUUUCAAAUCACCAUGUGCAUGCUGAAAUUCAUCAAAAAUUUAAAAUGAUGCUUAUAAAAGGUUGUUAAGCUGUGCCUUCUUUUAUGUCCAUACAUUUCUUAACUGCUUCAGACUGAAAAAUGAAUAACCCAAAUGUAGAUAUGUUGGAAUUGAGUGUAGCUGUGUUCUAUCGAAACAAACUGCCAUUGAUAGCGGAACAUGGCGAGACUGUCCAGUAAUUAGAGAGGUAGUGUGGUUGUAGUAAUGUCCUAUUGAACCAUUUGUAGAUACAUGUACAUCGAACAAACCGUGGGUUCUGUCAAGUACCCAACAAAUCAUGUCACAUUUGUCUUAACCUUUUGUCACAUCUGAUAGUAUUAUAUGCUGAAUUGUAGAAUGUACAUGAGGGUCACAUGACCAUAUUAAAAAAAUUUCACAAGC